rnacentral:rRNA from 1 species
AGAGUUUGAUCCUGGCUCAGAUUGAACGCUGGCGGCGUGCUUAACACAUGCAAGUCGAACGUGAAAGUCCUUCGGGGCGAGUAAAGUGGCGCACGGGUGAGUAACGCGUGGAUAAUCUACCCUUAAGAUGGGGAUAACGGCUGGAAACGGUCGCUAAUACCGAAUACGCUCCCGAUUUUAUCGUUGGGGGGAAAGAUGGCCUCUGCUUGCAAGCUAUCGCUUAAGGAUGAGUCCGCGUCCCAUUAGCUAGUUGGCGGGGUAACGGCCCACCAAGGCAACGAUGGGUAGCCGGUCUGAGAGGAUGACCGGCCACACUGGAACUGGAACACGGUCCAGACUCCUACGGGAGGCAGCAGUGGGGAAUAUUGCGCAAUGGGCGAAAGCCUGACGCAGCGACGCCGCGUGAGGGAUGAAGGUUCUCGGAUCGUAAACCUCUGUCAGGGGGGAAGAAACCCCCUCGUGUGAAUAAUGCGAGGGCUUGACGGUACCCCCAAAGGAAGCACCGGCUAACUCCGUGCCAGCAGCCGCGGUAAUACGGAGGGUGCAAGCGUUAAUCGGAAUCACUGGGCGUAAAGCGCACGUAGGUGGCUUGGUAAGUCAGGGGUGAAAUCCCACAGCCCAACUGUGGAACUGCCUUUGAUACUGCCAGGCUUGAGUACCGGAGAGGGUGGCGGAAUUCCAGGUGUAGGAGUGAAAUCCGUAGAUAUCUGGAGGAACACCGGUGGCGAAGGGCGGGCCACCUGGACGGUAACUGACGCUGGAGGUGCGAAAGCGUGGGUAGCAAACAGGAUUAGAUACCCUGGUAGUCCACACUGUAAACGAUGGGUGCUGGGUGCUGGGAUGUAUGUCUC